UGGUGGCUGUAUGUAUAUGAGCUGGAUCCCA
rnacentral:piRNA from 1 species